AUAGUUAUUUAGGUCAAAUUGCCU
rnacentral:siRNA from 1 species